UACGUAGGGGGCAAGCGUUGUCCGGAAUCAUUGGGCGUAAAGAGCGUGUAGGCGGCCCGAUAAGUCCGCCGUGAAAGCCCAGGGCUCAACCCUGGGGAUGCCGGUGGGAUACUGGUCGGGCUAGAAGUCCGGAAGAGGCGAGUGGAAUUCCUGGUGGUAGCGGUGAAAUGCGCAGAUAUCAGGAGGAACGACCAGCGGCGAAGGCGGCCUUCUGGUCCGAUUCUGACGCUGAGGCGCGAAAGCGUGGGGAGCGAUCCGG
rnacentral:rRNA from 1 species